AUUGAACGCUGGCGGCAGGCCUAACACAUGCAAGUCGAACGGUAACAGGAAACAGCUUGCUGUUUCGCUGACGAGUGGCGGACGGGUGAGUAAUGUCUGGGAAACUGCCUGAUGGAGGGGGAUAACUACUGGAAACGGUAGCUAAUACCGCAUAACGUCGCAAGACCAAAGAGGGGGACCUUCGGGCCUCUUGCCAUCAGAUGUGCCCAGAUGGGAUUAGCUAGUAGGUGGGGUAACGGCUCACCUAGGCGACGAUCCCUAGCUGGUCUGAGAGGAUGACCAGCCACACUGGAACUGAGACACUGUCCAGACUCCUACGGGAGGCAGCAGUGGGGAAUAUUGCACAAUGGGCGCAAGCCUGAUGCAGCCAUGCCGCGUGUAUGAAGAAGGCCUUCGGGUUGUAAAGUACUUUCAGCGGGGAGGAAGGGAGUAAAGUUAAUACCUUUGCCCAUUGACGUUACCCGCAGAAGAAGCACCGGCUAACUCCGUG
rnacentral:rRNA from 1 species